CAUGUGCUAAUGCUAUAGUAAAAUCGUCCUUAUCAAUAAAACAGCAGUAUGGUGGUUGAUCAGAUUUGUAGUAUUUUCUCAAGUUAAGAAAACAAGAAAGAUGCAUUAAUUGAGAACCAAAUCGGCUACCAACUUGCCAAAUUCUUAGAACGUUAUCAUAGCCUACCGUACUCAGGAAGGGAGUCGAUCCACUGGCGUCCGGAUGAAGGUGUUUAGACCAUUGGGAAAACCUUACGCGACAAGGAUGAACAAGAUAGCUGAAAUCAUCACAUGAGCUAACUGUACCUUGAGGAGAUGUUCGCUGCCAAACUUUAGCAAGUGGAUUUUUUGUUUCGAUAGAAGCUAUAAAACAAGCAUCGGAAGAAAUAGUGCUACUAAGGAAUGAAUCCGAGAUUCUGUUCUGCGACCAAACCAACCUGGGUUUGUCUUCAGAGAAAUUUAUAAGUUUAGUGUAUGACGAAGCACAAAGCAACAGAUCAAAAUUGUAUCCCCAAGAUAGUUGAGUAAUAUCUUCAGAAAGCUGAGUUAUAUAAUUGUAAUGAUGAGUCCAUUUCAAAGAAUCGGCGGGCUUAUAAAUAUCCAAAACUUGUCCAUGUGCUAUUGCUAGAAACCCCGUACGUUGGUCCAAAGCCACUGCACCAAUAGACUCUCCAAAUUGUAUAUUUUGAUAAGAUUCGUAGUUAUUUACAAUAAUUAAUACGGUAUAGCGAGUUCCAAAUGUCUACCAUUUAGUUAAACAAUUACUUCAAUUGGAAACAAUACUUUGACAUGCUGCUUUCGUUCUGCAGUUUAACCACUAGCAGACAAACGCAUAUCGUUUGCGUCCAUUCACUUACUAAUAUUCGAUUUUGGUUCCAUUGUACAUUGUCGUAGGCAGCUGUACGUUUUAGAGGUGUACCGGGAUUUGUGAAUGCCAGAGGCAUGUUUACUGCAGAACGCUGUGCAUGAGCUAAAAUUGGAUUUUUUUCGACUUGCAAAUAGUUAAGGGAGAAAUGACAAUGAUAAAAGCUAUUAAUAUCUGAUUUGACCUAAUAGCUGUCUACGUUCCAUAUACGCAUUUGAACCAGUGUGAACACCACCAUACUGCGGAAUAGCGUAAUAUUAAUUGUCAUUCUGAAAAGUUUAAGCAUAAUGCAAUAAAAAAACGCUAAAUGAAAAGGCAAUGCUUUCACGGUUCUUAAUGCAAUUUUAAUAUUCAUCUUAAAUGGUUACUCUGAGUAUUUAAUUUUCAAACUCAACGAAGUUUCGCUAGAUUCUUUAAUUGGUUUGAUUAAUCAUUGAAUCAGUCAUUCGGAUACGUAGGAGACAUUGAGCUAGUUAGUGUAAAAUAUAAUAGACUGAGAUUUAUCGCUGCAUUCAAUGUAUGUUGUGCAAAACGCGG